AUGCUUGCUUUAGCAGCACAUAUACUAAGGUUGGAACAAUACUGAGACAAUGAAUUUGACCCCUGAAAAAACAUGACACAUAAAUUCAUAAAGCAUAUCACAUUAUU
ensembl:snRNA U6 U6 spliceosomal RNA